GGCAUUCUUUAGCUGGCUUCAAAAUAUUCCUGCUUCUUCCAACUACUGCUCAGCUUUGGGGACAAAUUUCAGCUCACUCUUUAUGUUCUGAAUCUCUGAUAAGUUGACAGCAGGACCUGGAAGUUUUCUAGCACCUGGGAGAUGCUUCUUGUCUUUCUCCUCUUCUGUAGCAGGAACACUCUCCUCCACUUCUUCAGGUGUUACUUCU
rnacentral:lncRNA from 1 species